rnacentral:misc_RNA from 1 species
CAUAGUUGGUUCCCUCAGUGCUUCCCAUAUAGCCGACACAACUCCUGAUGUGAUAAUUACUCUUCAGUUCUUAUCUAUCUCAAAGGAAUAUGAAAAUCUUUUUCAUGAACUAGCAGUAUUUACAAUCUAAUUCGAGCUUCUAACCCACAACCCAUCAAUAGACCGCUGUCAAAGUUUAUGGAAUCUACUUAGGAGAAAAUUUUAUAGAAAAUGCAGAGAACUGGAGGCAAGAGAAAAGGAAGCAAUUCUAGCCAAACAAUCCUAAUCCACAAACAGGUAUGAAGAAUUAGAAAAACCAU